rnacentral:rRNA from 1 species
GGUUAAGCGACUAAGCGUACACGGUGGAUGCCCUGGCAGUCAGAGGCGAUGAAGGACGUGCUAAUCUGCGAUAAGCGCCGGUAAGGUGAUAUGAACCGUUAUAACCGGCGAUUUCCGAAUGGGGAAACCCAGUGUGACUCGUCACACUAUCAUUAACUGAAUCCAUAGGUUAAUGAGGCGAACCGGGGGAACUGAAACAUCUAAGUACCCCGAGGAAAAGAAAUCAACCGAGAUUCCCCCAGUAGCGGCGAGCGAACGGGGAGGAGCCCAGAGCCUGAAUCAGCAUGUGUGUUAGUGGAAGCGUCUGGAAAGGCGCGCGAUACAGGGUGACAGCCCCGUACACAAAAGCGCAUGUGCUGUGAGCUCGAUGAGUAGGGCGGGACACGUGGUAUCCUGUCUGAAUAUGGGGGGACCAUCCUCCAAGGCUAAAUACUCCUGACUGACCGAUAGUGAACCAGUACCGUGAGGGAAAGGCGAAAAGAACCCCGGCGAGGGGAGUGAAAAAGAACCUGAAACCGUGUACGUACAAGCAGUGGGAGCCCCACCACCAAAGCGUUCUCUGGUGUUGAAGGCCCUGCAAAGCAGCAUCGCGGUGGCGGAGCGUCGUUUGCGACGCCCAACACACAAAACAAGCGGUGAGUGCUUUGGGGUGGGGUGACUGCGUACCUUUUGUAUAAUGGGUCAGCGACUUAUAUUCUGUAGCAAGGUUAACCG